UACAGAGGUCUCAAGCGUUGUUCGGAAUUACUGGGCGUAAAGGGCUCGUAGGCGGCCAACUAAGUCAGACGUGAAAUCCCUCGGCUUAACCGGGGAACUGCAUCUGAUACUGGAUGGCUUGAGUUCGGGAGAGGGAUGCGGAAUUCCAGGUGUAGCGGUGAAAUGCGUAGAUAUCUGGAGGAACACCGGUGGCGAAGGCGGCAUCCUGGACCGACACUGACGCUGAGGAGCGAAAGCCAGGGGAGCAAACGGG
rnacentral:rRNA from 1 species